rnacentral:lncRNA from 1 species
AUAUAUAUAAAGCAAACCGGUGAUUCUUUUACAUAUCGUACAUGGAUAUGUAAUAUUUUUGUUUUCAUAUUUAUCUAACUUUACUUUUUAUGACAAUAUUCAAGGCAUUUUACUUUUUUAUUGAAAGGAUAAUCCAGAGAUAAUAUAUUCCCACGACAGCAGUAUAAAGAAAACAAGAAUGAAAACGUAACGUUUCUACACCAUCUGAUUCAGAAGCGUAACGCGAACUUAGCAUUUUCGUGAAAUCAUAGGCGGAUGCAAGAAAACUGUGUUAAACACGUGCCAGUGAUGUUAGAAACUCAUGAAACGAAACCUUUGGUUCAGUGUAAUAAUAAACUUUACAAAAAAAGUCGGCAAUAUGACUACUAAGUGUUCAGAUAUUUAAGUGACGUUGGAUAACUUUAUGCGUAUGCGCUUUGAAGUACACCGAGAAUUAUACCCUGGGUGUCUUCAUCAACCUGAUCCUGGUCCACUCUAAAACUUGCACCCGCCCUUGGAAAUGUUGAUAGGAUGGUUUUUGCAAUUGGUGACAUGCGUAGCCUUAGUAUCUUUUAACUGUUUAUUUUGUAUAAAACUUCCUUGUGAUCAAACCUAUGAAGCCAGAAAUGGUCAUCUGUGUUACCCGUGCAGCCCGGGAUAUUUUGAAGUUUCGGACUGCGUUGUAGACGGUCAUCAAGCAAGGUGCAUGCGUUGUGGAAAUGGAGAAUACCAGCGUUACUGUGAUAACGCAACAAAAUGUACUAGUUGUAGGCCGUACUGUCCGCCUGGACAAGUCAAAGUUAAAAUCUGUAAUGCAACUAGUGACAUAGAAUGCCAGUGUAAAGCGGGUUCCUUCUAGAAACCUGAUGCAUCGAAGCCUGAUGAAGGACACUGCCAGCAACACAGCAAGUGUGGACCAGGAGAGGGAAUGGUUAAAUCAGGAACAGCGUAUGAAGAUACUGAAUGUGAACCAUGUAGGGAAGGGGUUUCCUAUUCGGACAAUUCUUCCGUCGACAACUGUAAACCUUGCUCUAUAUGCAACGCAGGAGUAAUCGCCAAUUGUACAGCUACGCAUGAUGCGGUUUGUGGCGAACCGUUUCCUCAGCGGCCCUUACCAACAAAGAACGUGUUAGGUAUUAUUUAUCUUAACGAAUUGAAACUUCUUUUUUUGCAUGAUUUUUUUGUAAGCGUGGAAUGUUUCCUACGCUGUUUGUUCUAAGGUCAUGCCAAAUUGAUUACUAGUUUGUCGUUUGUUUGUUUUUUUUUUCGAAAAAAUGUGGAGCGAAAGCGCGCAAUUUUUAUUUUUCCCUUGCGGGUGCAUGGAGUGCAUUUUCUGAUGA